GUGAACGCUGGCGGUAGGCCUAACACAUGCAAGUCGAACGGCAGCACAGUAAGAGCUUGCUCUUGCGGGUGGCGAGUGGCGGACGGGUGAGGAAUACAUCGGAAUCUACUUUUUCGUGGGGGAUAACGUAGGGAAACUUACGCUAAUACCGCAUACGACCUACGGGUGAAAGCAGGGGAUCUUCGGACCUUGCGCGAUUGAAUGAGCCGAUGUCGGAUUAGCUAGUUGGCGGGGUAAAGGCCCACCAAGGCGACGAUCCGUAGCUGGUCUGAGAGGAUGAUCAGCCACACUGGAACUGAGACACGGUCCAGACUCCUACGGGAGGCAGCAGUGGGGAAUAUUGGACAAUGGGCGCAAGCCUGAUCCAGCCAUACCGCGUGGGUGAAGAAGGCCUUCGGGUUGUAAAGCCCUUUUGUUGGGAAAGAAAAGCAGCAGGUUAAUACCCCGCUGUUCUGACGGUACCCAAAGAAUAAGCACCGGCUAACUUCGU
rnacentral:rRNA from 1 species